rnacentral:rRNA from 1 species
CACCGGAGAGGUAGCAGUCGUCGGCGCGAGUUGCUCUCGCCGUUCCUCUCCACGGUGUUACUCCCUCGUUCCGGCGUGCUUCCGAGCUCGAAGGAGAAAGCCGAGGCGAUAUCGCCCCGACGACUUCUUCCUGCAUACGGCUGCGUCCACGCGAUGCAUGACGCAGGCAGAUGCUGCCAUCUGUCUUGAUGACAUACGACUAGUGGCAGUCAAGUACCGAUUCGUUACUGGAAUUCUAUGA